GACAGAGGAUGCAAGCGUUAUCCGGAAUUACUGGGUUUAAAGGGUGCGUAGGCGGCCAAGUAAGUCAGGAGUGAAAGUUUGCGGCUCAACCGUAAAAUUGCUUUUGAUACUGCUAGGCUGGAAUUAGGAUGAGGUCAGCGGAAUGUGGCAUGUAGCGGUGAAAUGCAUAGAUAUGCCAUAGAACACCAAUUGCGAAGGCAGCUGGCUAGACCUGGAUUGACGCUGAGGCACGAAAGCUAGGGGAGCGAAUGGG
rnacentral:rRNA from 1 species